rnacentral:rRNA from 1 species
AAGGAGUUUUCGGACAACGGAAGCUGAGGAAAGUGGCGGACGGGUGAGUAACGCGUGAGGAACCUGCCUUGGAGAGGGGGACAACAGCUGGAAACGGCUGCUAAUACCGCAUGAUGCAUCGGUGUCGCAUGGCAUUGAUGCCAAAGAAUUAUCGCUCUGAGAUGGCCUCGCGUCUGAUUAGCUGGUUGGUGGGGUAACGGCUCACCAAGGCGACGAUCAGUAGCCGGACUGAGAGGUUGAACGGCCACAUUGGGACUGAGAUACGGCCCAGACUCCUACGGGAGGCAGCAGUGGGGAAUAUUGGGCAAUGGGCGCAAGCCUGACCCAGCAACGCCGCGUGAAGGAAGAAGGCUUUCGGGUUGUAAACUUCUUUUAAGGGGGAAGAGCAGAAGACGGUACCCCUUGAAU